CCCUUAGAUGUCCGGGGCCGCACGCGCGCUACACUGAAGGAAUCAGCGUGGCUUUCUCCCUGACCCGAAAGGGUUGGGAAACCCGUUGAAUCUCCUUCGUGAUAGGGAUUGGGGCUUGAAAUUGUUCCCCAUGAACGAGGAAUUCCCAGUAAGCGCGAGUCAUAAGCUCGCGUUGAUUACGUCCCUGCCCUUUGUACACACCGCCCGUCGCUACUACCAAUUGAACGGUUUAGUGAGGGCCUCGGAUUGGUCUCGGCCCGCUCUUUACCGGGCGGCGCCGUUGGUCGAGAAGACGCUCGAACUUGAUCGUUUAGAGGAAGUAAAAGUCGUAACA
rnacentral:rRNA from 1 species